rnacentral:rRNA from 1 species
GACGAACGCUGGCGGCGUGCCUAAUACAUGCAAGUCGAGCGAGCUGAACCAACAGAUUUACUUUGGUAAUGACGUUGGGAACGCGAGCGGCGGAUGGGUGAGUAACACGUGGGGAACCUGCCCCUCAGUCUGGGAUACCACUUGGAAACAGGUGCUAAUACCGGAUAAUAAAGCAGAUCGCAUGAUCAGCUUUUGAAAGGCGGCGUAAGCUGUCGCUAAGGGAUGGCCCCGCGGUGCAUUAGCUAGUUGGUAGGGUAACGGCCUACCAAGGCAAUGAUGCAUAGCCGAGUUGAGAGACUGAUCGGCCACAUUGGGACUGAGACACGGCCCAAACUCCUACGGGAGGCAGCAGUAGGGAAUCUUCCACAAUGGACGAAAGUCUGAUGGAGCAACGCCGCGUGAGUGAAGAAGGUUUUCGGAUCGUAAAGCUCUGUUGUUGGUGAAGAAGGAUAGAGGU